CCUCCCCAUGUGCUACAUACUAAAUCAGUGCUACGGUUUACUUCCACUUGGACAAAAUGAAGAUAGCAGAGAAGGAAAGGAAAGUAAAAGUCAUAUAAAAGUGGGUCUGGAGUAAACAACAGACGAACUGAGCUAUUUUUGAAAGAACAUGACCACCUUCAAAAGAGAAUGAAGCAAUUCAAGUAUACACAUCUUUAAUAAUUUGUUUAGGCUAUAAACAUGCUGAGAAGACAGAAAUCAAAAGGUAUUUUUCCAUCUUAGAUCAAAGUAUAAAGUCUCAGACAAUUUUACAUACAAUAUUCUUUAUAUAUAUUAUAUACUUUAUAUACAUUUCUUUCAACAUUCUUGUGAAGAAGUUUGUGUGUGCCAAACCUAUACAGUGAGAAACUGAGAUAGGAUGAAACUGAAUGGAAUGAGAGCUUCAAUAUAUAUAUACUUCCAAUAUAUACACUUUACAUAUAUUAUAUAUUUUAUAUACAUUUCUUUCAACAUUCUUGUGAAGAAGUUUGUGUGUGCCAAAUCUAUACAGAGAGAAACUGAGAUAGGAUGAAACUGAAUGGAAUGAGAGCGUCUGAUGAAUUAGAGGAGUUGUUGAUUGUGAAA